CUUUGAAGAAACAGAUCUCGCGAAGCGAAACGAUCGGCAAUGGAGAAGGGCGAGCAUUCCGCCGAGUACGCCCCCUACCCGAAGCUCACUCCCGAAGACGUAGCGCCGCCUACGCCGCCCCCUGUCGGCCACCUCGACGCCACCACAGUGCCGCCCGAGUCCAACCCCUACAUCAGCCCUUCCGCCACUGCGCCGUCCUCGUCCCCCAAGAAUACGAUGGGCACUGUGCGCGAUGUGCUUGACAAAUUUGGGAAGAAAGUCAACGAAGCAGCGAAGAAGACUGAGGAUUUGGCUGGGAAUUUUUGGCAGCAUUUGAAAACAGGGCCUAGCAUUGCUGACACAGCCAUGGGGAGGAUUUCUCAGACUACUAGAGUCAUAAGUGAAGGGGGUUAUGAUAAAAUAUUUCAGCAAACUUUUGAGACAUUUCCUGAUGAGAAACUUAAAAAGUCGUAUGCGUGCUAUCUUUCGACAUCGGCUGGUCCUAUUAUGGGGGUUUUGUAUCUUUCGACUGCCAAACUUGCAUUCUGUAGUGAUAAUCCCCUAUCAUACAAAGUUGGAGAUCAGACUCAAUGGACAUAUUACAAGGUGGUAAUUCCUCUGCAUCAGAUAAGAUCAGUCGAUCGUUCAGCGAGCAGAGCAAAGCCAGGAGAAAAAUAUAUUCAAGUUGUCUCUAUCGACAACCAUGAGUUCUGGUUCAUGGGUCUUGUGAACUACGAUAGUGCUGUCAGAAACCUACUGGAAGCAGUGCAUCGUUCUCGUCUCCAAGUUUAGUGAUCUGUUCGGAUUUGGGAAAGCAAUUUUCAUGAAGUUCAUGCUUGUUAGCAGAACUGUUGUGCCUCAGAUGCUCUUUUCCCCGCAUCAUGAACAGUUUUGUCUGUCAAGUUCUUCACAAGAUCAGGAAGGAAGCAGUUGUCAUCGGGAUACCGUAUCAUUUCUGCAAGAACCGAGGUGGUUUAAAGGCAUUUUACAGUUUCCGUAUACAAAAAGCAAGGAUCAUUCCACCAUGUGGGGCUGCAAUCAGGUGAACCCUAACGCUAGCGAAACAAUCGAUAGCAAAGAAGAAAACCAGGUGCCAGGUACGUGUUUCUUGACAUGUGUUUGUUUUCAAGAUAGUAUAUGAUUUGGGUAGUAGACGGAAGAUGUGAUCAAACGCGCGCGC